UACGGAGGAUCCAAGCGUUAUCCGGAAUCAUUGGGUUUAAAGGGUCCGUAGGUGGAUAAUUAAGUCAGAGGUGAAAUCCUGCAGCUCAACUGUAGAAUUGCCUUUGAUACUGGUUAUCUUGAAUUAUUGUGAAGUAGUUAGAAUAUGUAGUGUAGCGGUGAAAUGCAUAGAUAUUACAUAGAAUACCAAUUGCGAAGGCAGAUUACUAACAAUAUAUUGACACUGAUGGACGAAAGCGUGGGGAGCGAACAGG
rnacentral:rRNA from 1 species